rnacentral:rRNA from 1 species
GCGGUGCAUUAGCUAGAUGGUGAGGUAACGGCUCACCAUGGCGAAGAUGGGUAGCUGGCCUGAGAGGGCGAACGGCCACACUGGGACUGAGAUACGACCCAGACUCCUACGGGAGGCAGCAGCUAAGAAUAUUCCGCAAUGGACGAAAGUCUGACGGAGCGACGCCGCGUGGAUGAGGAAGGCCGAAAGGUUGUAAAAUCCUUUUGCAGGCGCAGAAGAAGGCGGGGAGGGAAUGCCCCGUCGGUGACAAAGGUCUGUGAAUAAGCCCCGGCUAAUUACGUGCCAGCAGCCGCGGUAACACGUAAGGGGCGAGCGUUGUUCGGAAUUAUUGGGCGUAAAGGGCGCGUAGGCGGCCAUGUAAGUCUGAUGUGAAAUGUCCGGGCUUAACCCGGGAACUGCAUUGGAAACUGCAUGGCUUGAGUCACGGAGGGGCAGCCGGAAUUCCUGGUGGAGGGGUGAAAUCUGUAGAUAUCAGGAAGAACACCGGUGGCGAAGGCGGGCUGCCAGCCGAUGACUGACGCUGAGGCGCGAAAGUGCGGGGAGCAAACAGGAUUAGAUACCCUGGUAGUCCGCACUGUAAACGAUGUGCACUAGGCGUCGGGGCGAGCGUCUCGGCGCCGGAGCGAACGCGAUAAGUGCACCGCCUGGGGAGUAUGCCCGCAAGGGUGAAACUCAAAGGAAUUGACGGAAUC